rnacentral:rRNA from 1 species
GCAGUCGUACGAGAGUUUUUACUCUAGUGGCGGACGGGUGAGUAACACGUGAGUAAUUUACCUUUAGGAGGGGGAUAACAAUUGGAAACGACUGCUAAUACCCCAUAUGCUUCUGAGUGAAAUGGAUUUAUAUUUAUCCGCCUAGAGAGAAGCUCGCGGCUGAUUAGCUUGUUGGUAAGGUAAGAGCUUACCAAGGCGACGAUCAGUAUCUGGUUUGAGAGGACGAUCAGACACACUGGAACUGAGACACGGUCCAGACUCCUACGGGAGGCAGCAGUGGGGAAUUUUCCGCAAUGGGCGAAAGCCUGACGGAGCAAUACCGCGUGAGGGAAGACUGCCUAUGGGUUGUAAACCUCUUUUUUCAGGGAGGAAUAAAAUGACGUGUACCUGAAGAAUAAGCAUCGGCUAACUCCGCGCCAGCAGCCGCGGUAAGACGGAGGAUGCAAGUGUUAUCCGGAAUCACUGGGCGUAAAGCGUCUGUAGGUGGUUUGAUAAGUCAACUGUUAAAUCUUGAGGCUCAACUUCAAAAUCGCAGUCGAAACUAUUAGACUAGAGUAUAGUAGAGGUAAGGGGAAUUUCCAGUGGAGCGGUGAAAUGCGUAGAUAUUGGAAAGAACACCGAUGGCGAAAGCACUUUACUGGGCUAUUACUAACACUCAGAGACGAGAGCUAGGGUAGCAAAUGGGAUUAGAUACCCCAGUAGUCCUAGCCGUAAACUAUGGAUACUAGAUGUUGAACAGAUCGACCUGUGCAGUAUCAAAGCUAACGCGUUAAGUAUCCCGCCUGGGAAGUAUGCUCGCAAGAGUGAAACUCAAA